ensembl:snRNA U2 U2 spliceosomal RNA
AUCGCUUCUUGGCCUUUUGGCUAAGAUCAAGUGUAACAAUGCUAAAACAUCAAAAAGAUAUUCAGUCUAAGUUAUAUAUUAUACAAAAUAUAUUUGCUGUUAUAUAUAUUUAAACCUCC